CAAGAAACGAGGCCGCGUGCGCUCGCCCGCCCGGCCCCGCUCCUUACCUUGCCUACUGCACCGUUUGUUGCUUCCUGGCGGCGGACUGCCCGCCAGCCAGGGACGUUGAUACAACCCUGUAUAGAAGCAUUGAAGCUCUGAGAAAACGCGAAAUCGUA
rnacentral:misc_RNA from 1 species